rnacentral:rRNA from 1 species
CCUACGGGAGGCAGCAGUGAGGAAUAUUGGUCAAUGGACGAGAGUCUGAACAAGCCAAGUAGCGUGAAGGAUGACUGCCCUAUGGGUUGUAAACUUCUUUUAUAUGGGAAUAAAAUGUUCCACGUGUGGGAUUUUGUAUGUACCAUAUGAAUAAGGAUCGGCUAACUCCGGGCCAGCAGCCGCGGUAAUACGGAGGAUCCGAGCGUUAUCCGGAUUGAUUGGGUUUAAAGGGAGCGUAGGUGGAUUGUUAAGUCAGUUGUGAAAGUUUGCGGCUCAACCGUAAAAUUGCAGUUGAAACUGGCAGUCUUGAGUACAGUAGAGGUGGGCGGAAUUCGUGGUGUAGCGGUGAAAUGCUUAGAUAUCACGAAGAACUCCGAUUGCGAAGGCAGCUCACUGGACUGCAACUGACACUGAGGCUCGAAAGUGUGGGUAUCAAACAGGAUUAGAUACCCGUGUAGUC